rnacentral:rRNA from 1 species
UACAGGGGUCUCAAGCGUUGUUCGGAUUCAUUGGGCGUAAAGGGUGCGUAGGUGGCCUGGUAAGUCGGAUGUGAAAUCCCGGGGCUCAACCCCGGAACUGCAUUCGAUACUGCUGCGCUAGAGUACUGGAGAGGAGAUUGGAAUUUACGGUGUAGCAGUGAAAUGCGUAGAUAUCGUAAGGAAGACCAGUGGCGAAGGCGGAUCUCUGGACAGUUACUGACACUGAGGCACGAAGGCCAGGGGAGCAAACGGG